rnacentral:rRNA from 1 species
GACGUAGGGCGCGAGCGUUGUCCGGAUUUAUUGGGCGUAAAGAGCUCGUAGGCGGCUUGUCGCGUCGAAUGUGAAAUCUCAGAGCUCAACUCUGACAUUGCAUUCAAUACGGGCAGGCUAGAGUUCGGUAGGGGAGACUGGAAUUCCUGGUGUAGCGGUGGAAUGCGCAGAUAUCAGGAGGAACACCAAUAGCGAAGGCAGCUCGCUGGGACGUUACUGACACUGAGGCGCGAAAGCGUGGGGAGCGAACAGG